rnacentral:lncRNA from 1 species
UGGGCCAGAUCUAGUUUCUCUGAGGCGUCGAUGGCAGUCUGGUGCGUCGCUGCCUCCUUCAUGUCUUCGAUUAGCUUCGUGCUCCUUCAUCUCCGUCGGUUUAUCUCACGGGUAAGUUCAGAGCUUCUCUUCUCUGUGAGAAAGUGGUGUGGAGGAAACCACUGAGAACCUCUGUUUAAGAUUGUGGGGUUAGCUUAUCACGGUGGUUAUCCGUGGAUGUGUUGUUUCUUGUUGCUGCUUGUUGGUUCUUUGGGGCUUCGGGGACUGGCCCUGUUUCAGACCCUUCGUUGCGGUUACUCUACAGCAUCCUCAGUCGCUUGCCGUGUUUGUUUGGAGCUUCUGCUCCCGUUCUUCAAGCCUGGGAAUGAAGCUUUGGGUGGGUGUUGCUGCCUCUUUGACGGUUGAAAUGCAUUAUCUCCUCCGAGGAAGUGGCCGGAGUCGGGAGAUAAACCUCCGCCUACCUCCUCAAGAGCCCUUGUUCUUCAUCGAGUGUCUUUCAUCUGUUAGUUUGGACUCACAGCUUCUCCUUCGCAAAGUCUCUGGUUUGGCUGGAUCUGGUCUCAUUGUUAGUGUAAUAGCCGGGGCCGGCUCGUCAAUCCGCCUCCGCCUGUUGCCGUCAAAGUAUCCCCGGGAUUGCUCCGUUUCCAUCCAUACCCAAGACCAGUCUUCUCAUUUGCAGUUUACAGUGAAUGAGUUGCUUCUUGGUCUACCUAUGGCCAAUAGUUAAUCUUAUGAUCUCCUAGUUUAGCUUUAGUUUGUUUCUUAUGAUUUAGACUAAACCUAUUUUGUAUCGAAGGGGCUUUUUUAUCUUUUUUUGGGGUCUCUUUGAUAGAACUUUGCUUAAUUGCAGCUUUAGGUUCAUGCUUGCUUGUACCUCUUUGCCAUUUCUUAUUGAAAUGAAUUCACAUUUUGUCAAAAAAAAAUUAAUAGGAACACAAUCUCAUGGAAAUAUCAUAAGUUGUAGAGUCUGUUUCAUGCAGUUUUAUUAGUAAUGUUGAAAAUAUCAACGACAUUAGUUCACUAAAUAGCGCAACGAAAAUACUGAAAAAAAUAGAUAACCGGCUCGCCAAUCCGCCUCCGCCUGUUGCCGUCAAAGUAUCCCCGGGAUUGCUCCGUUUCCAUCCAUACCCAAGACCAGUCUUCUCAUUUGCAGUUUACAGUGAAUUAGUUGCUUCUUGGUCUACCUAUGGCCAAUAGUUAAUCUUAUGAUCUCCUAGUUUAGCUUUAGUUUGUUUCUUAUGAUUUAGACUAAACCUAUUUUGUAUCGAAGGGGCUUUUUUAUCUUUUUUUGGGGUCUCUUUGAUAGAACUUUGCUUAAUUGCAGCUUUAGGUUCAUGCUUGCUUGUACCUCUUUGCCAUUUCUUAUUGAAAUGAAUUCACAUUUUGUCAAAAAAAAAUUAAUAGGAACACAAUCUCAUGGAAAUAUCAUAAGUUGUAG